GCAGAAGUGGUGGAACGGCAGACACGCUGUCUUCAGGCGGCAGUGAGAGAGAUCUCGUGAGGGUUCAAAUCCCUUCUUCUGCACCA
rnacentral:tRNA from 1 species